UACGAAGGGGGCUAGCGUUGUUCGGAUUUACUGGGCGUAAAGCGCACGUAGGCGGAUUGCUAAGUCAGGGGUGAAAUCCCGGAGCUCAACUCCGGAACUGCCUUUGAUACUGGCAAUCUUGAGGCUGGAAGAGGUUAGUGGAAUUCCCAGUGUAGAGGUGAAAUUCGUAGAUAUUGGGAAGAACACCAGUGGCGAAGGCGGCUAACUGGUCCAGAUCUGACGCUGAGGUGCGAAAGCGUGGGGAGCAAACAGG
rnacentral:rRNA from 1 species